CCGAGUGACAACUGAGGCCAUACAGAGGA
rnacentral:piRNA from 1 species